rnacentral:rRNA from 1 species
CAGGCCUAACACAUGCAAGUCGAGCGGGCCCUUCGGGGUCAGCGGCGGACGGGUGAGUAACGCGUGGGAACGUGCCUUCUGGUCUGGAAUAACCCUGGGAAACUAGGGCUAAUACCGGAUACGCCCUUUUGGGGAAAGGUUUACUGCCGGAAGAUCGGCCCGCGUCUGAUUAGCUAGUUGGCAGGGUAACGGCCUACCAAGGCUUUGAUCAGUCGGGGUUCUGAGAGGAUUGGCCCCCACAUGGGUACUGAGAGACGGACCCAACUCCUACGGGAGGCAGCAGUAGGGAAUAUUGGGCAAUGGGCGAGAGCCUGACCCAGCCAUGCCGCGUGGAGGAUGACGGCGCUCAGCGUUGUAAACUCCUUUUAUCAAGGAAGAAUGGAUGGCCUGCGGGUCAUUGUGACGGUACUUGAGGAAUAAGCACCGGCUAACUCCGUGCCAGCAGCCGCGGUAAU